rfam:TPA: Bos taurus chromosome 5, whole genome shotgun sequence.
UCUCUGGUGGCUUAGAUGGUAAAGAAUCUGCCUGCAAUGCAGGAGACCUGGGUACAACCCCUGGUUCGGGAA